AAGGAAGCCUCCUCUGCCCCACCCUACCUACCUGUAAUCUUCCUUUUCCUACCAGCAGGGAGUGCUCACUCCAUAAGACCCUUAUAUUUGGACAAUCAAGGUGCACAAUUGUAAGUGACCACAACCAUGCAUCUUGGAAAUUGAUGUGCAUAACUGCACACGGCUUAUCCUAUUUGAAUAAGGUCCUGCUCUCAGACUCCCUUUGCAGUAUAGCUGGGGUGCUGAUCACUAAGGCCUCUUUUCUUGGCUUGUCUGUAUUCUUGUGUACUAGCCAAGGAUACCUUCUCAUGGACUCCCUUUGCUUUUCAAGAAGGAGUACCCACUACUUUAAGAUUCUUAUAUUUGUCCAAAGUACAUGGUUUUAAUGGACCACAACAAUGUCCCUUGGACGUUAAUGUAUAUAAUCACCACAUGGUUCAUCCUGAAUAAACAAGGUCCUACCCUCUCACCCUCCAUUUGCAGUAUACCAGGGUUGCUGACCCCUAAGUCCCCUUUUCUUGGCUUAUUGACAUGCAUAAUUGCAUUUAUGUGGGUUCUUGUGCCCUAGACAAGGAUGCCCCACCUCUUUUCAAUAGUGGGUGCCCACUCCUUAUGAUCUUCACAUUUGAACAGUUAAUGGGAAUAAUUGCAGUUGUCCACAACCCUAUCACUUCUAGGACCAUUGCACCUCUUUUGCAUUACUGUGGGAUAUACUGCUUGCCUGCAAGGCCCUUUCUGGUGGACUAUCAACAUACAUAAUUGAAAUUUUCUUUUGUGUUUGUCAGUAGAUUAAAGUCAUACCCCAUCACCUUUCCUUUGUAGUACAGCAGGGUGUCCCGAUCAACCAAAGUCCUGUUAUUUUGGACUGUUAAUAUGCGCAAUUACAUUUGCUCCUGGUCUGUGCACUAGACAAGGAUCCUACGUACUUUCUUAGCGUUUUUAGCAGGUAGUGCCCACUACUCAAGACUCUUUCACUUGGAAUGUUCAUGUGCACAAACACAAUUCUCUAAGCAUGUUCCUGUACCACCUUUGCUUUAGAGCAGGGGGAUGAUAUUCACUUAGUGCCCCUUCUCUUGGACUUAAUAUGCAUUAAUGCAAUUGUCUACCUCUUCUUUUAGACUAAGACUUGAUCUCCACAUACUCCCCUUGCAUCAGGGGCAUGUUAAUUAUGAAUGAACCCUUUUAAUAUUAAUGUCACAAUUUUAUUUGUGGACCUGUGUAGUAGAAAAAGACCCUAUGUUCCUUCUACUACCCUUUGGAUUGCUGCUGAAAAGUGCUAACUACUCAUAAUCUCAGCUCUUGGACAAUUAAUAUGCAUUAAUAACAAUUAUCAAGGGCACUGAUCAUUAGAUAAGACUCCUGCCUCCUCAUGCAUACAUCAGGGGUACUGAACCACUAAGGCCCCUUUUACUGUUAAUGUGAAUAUUUGCAAUUAUACAUGUCUCCUUCUGUUAGAGUGGGAUAUUAUGCCUUAGUAUCCCCUUUGCAUUACUGCAGGGGCUGCCGACUACUCAAAACUUCUCCUGGGACUGUUAAUAGGUACAAUGGCAGUUAUCAAUGGUUUUUUUCCCUCACUGAUCUUGUUAAGCACCCCACCCCACUCUUAGUUUCCCAUGGCAUAAUAAAGUAUAAGCAUUGGAAUAUUCCAUGCACUUGUCCAUCAAACAGUGGACCAUACUCCCACCCCUUUUGCAUUGCACCAGUGUGUAAAGUCACAGUUAGCCAUGGUGUCAUGCUUUAUGUACGAAGUCUUCCCUCUCUGCCCCUUGUGUGCCCUUGGCCCCUUUUUACAGACUAUUACUCACAAUCUUAGGUAUCCAUAUAUCCAGAUAUUAGAUAAGAUUAUGCUCUCCCUCCUCCCUUCCCCCUGCCCUGCCCCAUUUGCCUCUUUGCUGGGUAAUCUUGACUGGACAAGACCCUUUCUCUUGGACUUAAAAAAUACUCAGUUGCACUUUCCUUGGUCCCACCCAUUAUACAUGAACCCGUCUACUUCCUUUUGCAUUACUUCUGAGUAUGCUGGCCACCCAAAGCCCCUUCUGUGUUCUUAAUGAACACAGUACUGAUUGUCCCAUUUUUUCAGCCCAUCAGUCCAAGAUCUCCCUACCACUUUGGUGUGUUUGUGCAGUGUUGACUAUGAAAAGCAGGCCUGAACUAGGUGGAUAAGCCUUCAUUCAUUUUCUUUCAUUUAUUAAUGAUCCCAGUUUCAAUUAUUGUCAGAUUCUGGGAACAAGAACCAUUCUUGCCCACCUCUGUUACUGCUUUACUGUGCAAAAUACUCAAGGCAAGUCAGACCCAGGGAGCUGGAUUGCCAUCCUUUAUUUUGUGUUUCCAGUAUACACUAUCAAAUUGUCUCCCCAGGAAGGAAGGUUGGCACUUUUUCUGCAUUCUUCUUUCCAGAGCAGAUUGUCUGGUUAAGAAUCUCUUGUUGUCCCCUUUGUAUAUUGUUAUUGUAAAGUGCCAAAUGCCAGGAUACAGCCAGAAAAAUUGCUGUUAUUAUUAUUAAAAAAAAUUUUUUAAGAAAGACAUCUGGAUUGUAGACUGGACUCAGUAACCUGGUCAUUAUUUUUUUGAAGCCAAAAAAUCCGUUUAUACUAUGUACCUGAUGACCAGUGUCUCAUUUUAACUGAGGGUGGUGGGUCUGUGGAUAGAACACUGACUCUUGCUAUUUUAAUAUUAUCAAAGGCGUUCUGGAACGGAACUCUUAAGACCAGUGUCUUUGUGUGGGCUUUACCAGGAUUCAUUUUUAGAAAAACUACCUAAAUUUUAUAAACCUUAAAUUUCUUCAUCUGGAGCACCUGCCCCUACUUAUUUCAAGAAGAUUGCAGUAAAACGAUUAAAUGAGGGAACAUAUGCAGAGGUGCUUUUAAAAAGCAUAUGCCACCUUUUUAAUUAAUUUGUCUAUUAUAUAAAAUGAAGCAUUUAAUUAUACUAAUAAUUUGAAGUAGUUCGAAGUACCGCACUGAGGUGAGGACUUAAAAAUGAUAAGACCAGUUUCCUAUUUUAUAAGAAAAAUAAGCCAAAAUUAAAUAUUCUUUUGGAUAUAAAUUUCAACAGUGAGAUAGCUGCCUAGUGGAAAUGAAUAAUAUCCCAGCCACUAGUGUACAGGGUGUUUUGUGGCAAAGGAGUAUGUAACAUGGAACUGCUCAAGCAAAUAACUAGUCAUCACAACAGCAGUUCUUUGUAAUAACUGAAAAAGAAUAUUGUUUCUCUGAGAAGGAUGUCAAAAGAUCGGCCCAGCUCAGGGAGCAGUUUGCCCUACUAGCUCCUCGGACAGCUGUAAGAAGAGUCUCUGGCUCUUUAGAAUACUGAUUCCACUGAAGAUACCAUGCUGCAUGUGUCCUUAGUAGUCGUGUCUCCUUAGGCUCCUCUUGGACAUUCUGAGCAUGUGAGACCCGAGGACUGCAAACAGCUGCAAGAGGCUUCAAAUUCAGCAUAUCGUUCCUUUUGAGAAUCUGGCCAAGCUCCAGCAAAUCUACUUGGAUGGGUUGCCAGCCACCUGGAGAAAAAGAUCUUCCUCAGAAGAACAGGCUUGUUGCUUUACAGUGUUAGUGAUCCAUUCCCUUUGACGAUCCCUAGGUGGAGAUGGGGCAUGAGGAUCCUCCAGGGGAAAAGCUCACUACCACUGGGCAACAACCCUAGGUCAGGAGGUUCUGUCAGGAUACUUUCCUGGUCCCAGAUAGGAAGAUAAAGUCUCAAAAACAACCACCACACGUCAAGCUCUUCAUUGUUCCUAUCUGCCAAAUCAUUACACUUCCUACAAGCAGUGCAGAGAACUGAGUCUUCAGCAGGUCCAAGAAAUUUGAACACAUUGAAGGAGGUCAGCCUUCCUACCUGAAGAUCAACAUGCUUGGCACUCUAGCACUUUAGGAUAGCCGAAUGAAUGUGUAUUUCUUUGUCUCUUUCUUCCUUGUCUUUGCUCUUUGUUCUCUAUCUAAAGUGUGUCUUACCCAUUUCCAUCUUUCUCUUGCUAAUUUCUUUCGUGUGUGCCUUUGCCUCAUUUUCUCUUUUUGUUCACAAGACUGGUCUGUGCCUUAUCUUAGACGUGUCUCUCAUUUUUCCUUUUGUUGCUGUUUCUCUUUGCUCUCCUAGAUGUGGCUCUUCUUUCACGCUUUAUUUCAUGUCUCCUUUUUGGGUCACAUGUGUGUGCUUUUUGUCCUUCUUUUGUUCUGUCUACUUCUCCUUUCUCUGCCUACCUCUCUUUUCUCUUUGUGAACUGUGAUUAUUUGUUACCCCUUCCCCUUCUUGUUCGUUUUAAAUUUCACCUUUUUUCUGAGUCUGGCCUCCUUUCUGCUGUUUCUACUUUUUAUCUCACAUUUCUCAUUUCUACAUUUCCUUUCUGCCUCUCUUGGGCUAUUUUCUCUCUUUUUCCUCCCCUGUGUGCCUCAGCAUCUCUUGCUGUUUGUGAUUUUCUAUUUCAGUAUUAAUCUCUGUUGGCUUGUGUUUCUUCUCUGCUUCUUCCCUUUCUACUCACCUUUGAGUAUUUCAGCCUCUUCAUGAAUCUAUCUCCCUCUCUUUGAUUUCAUGUAAUCUUCUCUCCUUAAAUAUUUCUUUGCAUAUGUGGGCAUGUGUACGUGUGUGUGUCAUGUGUGGCAGAGGGGCUUCUUAACCCCUGCCUGAUAGGUGCAGAACGUCGGCUAUCAGAAUGAGCAUUGUGGAGCGGUUCCUUAUGCCAGGCUGCCAUGUGAGAUGAUCCAAGACCAAAACAAGGCCCUAGAGUCUAGACUGCAGUAAAACCCAAUACUCAAGUAGGACAGAAGGUGGAAGGCUCAUAUGGAUAAAAGGCCCAAAGUAGAAGACAGAUGGUUUGAGACUCGAGACCCGAGGACUAAGAUGGAAAGCCCAUGUUCCAAGAUAGAUAGAAGCCUCAGGCCUGAAACGAACAAAAGCCUCAAGAGCCAAGAAAACAGGGUGGUCUGAAUUGGACAGAAGGCCUGAGUUGGAUGGAAGUCUCAAGUCUUGAGUUUGAAGUCUUAAGACCUGGGACAGGACACAUGGAAGGCCUAAGAACUGAGACUUGUGACACAAGGCCAAAGACCUAAGAUUAGCCCGGGGUUGUAGUUGGAAGACCUACAACCCAAGGAUGGAAGGCCUCUGUCACAAACCCUACCUAUAUGGAUAGAGGACCCAAGUGAAACAGAUAUCUCAAGACUAAAGGCCGGAAUCUGGAGGUCCAUGACCUAGAACCCAGGAAGGAUGGAAGCUUGAAGACCUGGGGAAAUCCCAAGAUGAGAACCCUAAACCCCACCUCUUUUCUAUUGUUUACACUUCUUACUCUUACAUAUUUCCAGUUCUCCUGUUUCUCUUUAAGCCUGAUUCUUUUGAGAUGUACUUUUUGAUGUUGCCAGUUACCUUAAAGGAACAUAUCUUUAGAUUGACAGUAUUAUGCCUGGGCCAGUCUUGAGCCAGCUUUAAAUCACAGCUUUUACCUAUUUGUUAGGCUUUAGUGUUUUGUAAACUUCUGUUUCUAUUCACAUCUACUCCACUUGAGAGAGAGACCAGAAUCCAGUCAGUAUCUAAUCUGGAUUUUGUUAUUCCCCUCAGGAGCAAACAUUCAUAUAGGUGAUACUGUAUUUCAGUCCUCUCUUUUAACCCCAGAAUUCCUAGACUGAGAAGAUAAAAUGGUCAGGUUGUUGGGGGAAAAAAAGUGCUAGGCCCUCUAGAGAAAAAUGUGAAGAGAUGCUGCAGGCCAAUGAGAAGAAUUAGACAAGAAAUACACAGAUGUGCCAGACUUCUGAGAAGCACCUGCCAGCAACAGCUUCCUUCUUUGAGCUUAGCCCAUCCCUCAUGAAAAAUGACUGACCACUGCUGGGCAGCAGGAGGGAUGAUGACUAAUUCCCAAACCCCAGUCUCAUUGGUACCAGCCUUGGGGAACCACCCAUACUUGAGCCACAAUUGGUUUUGAAGUGCAUUUACAAGUUUCUGGCGUCACUACCACUACUGAUUAAACAAGAAUAAGAGAACAUUUUAUCAUCAUCUGCUUUAUUCACAUAAAUGAAGUGAUGAAUAAAUCUGCUUUUAUGCAGACACAAGGAAUUAAGUGGCUUCGUCAUUGCCCUUCUACCUCAAAGAGAAUUUAUCCCAAAAUGCUAAGAUAAAUGGAAGACUCUUGAACUUGUGAACUGAUGUGAAAUGCAGAAUCUCUUUUGAGUCUUUGCUGUUUUGAAGAUUGAAAAAUAUUGUUCAGCAUGGGUGACCACCAAAAAGUAAUCUUAAGCCAUCUAGAUGUCACAAUUGAAACAAACUGGGGAGUUGGGUUGCUAUUGUAAAAUAAAAUAUACUGCUUUGAAAACUUUG